rnacentral:rRNA from 1 species
AUACGGAGGAUCCGAGCGUUAUCCGGAUUUAUUGGGUUUAAAGGGAGCGUAGGUGGGAUAUUAAGUCAGCUGUGAAAGUUUGGGGCUCAACCUUAAAAUUGCAGUUGAUACUGGUUUCCUUGAGUACGGUACAGGUGGGCGGAAUUCGUGGUGUAGCGGUGAAAUGCUUAGAUAUCACGAAGAACUCCGAUCGCGAAGGCAGCUCACCGGGCCGGAACUGACACUGAUGCUCGAAAGUGCGGGUAUCAAACAGGAUUAGAUACCCUGGUAGUCCGCACAGUAAACGAUGAAUACUCGCUGUUUGCGAUACACUGUAAGCGGCCAAGCGAAAGCGUUAAGUAUUCCACCUGGGGAGUACGCCGGCAACGGUGAAACUCAAAUGAAUUGGCGGGG